rnacentral:misc_RNA from 1 species
UCCAAUAUUAUGGGCCAAAAGCUUCAACAUUUCUCCAUGAAUUCACUGUAGGUUUACCCAUUGUGAUACGUAGAGAGUGCAAAGCUAUAAAGUUGGACAUAUAAUCAAGUAAAACGGGAAGAGUUCGAAAUCAAAGGAAUAUAUCAAAAAGACAAAUACAUUAAUAGCAUUCCAAAAGGGAAAUCUAAACUGCAGGCAUUAGGUGUCCUCCAUUACAUCUUAUACGAAUAUUAAGGACAAAAAAAAUAUCUACCAGGUGAGGUUCAACACAUAACCUAUACAACCAAUCCAAGAUAUAAACCUUCUCACAUCCCUAAAGGCUAACACUAGGGGAAAGGCGUAACCAAAAACACCCUGUAAAGAGAGAUCUGCAAGAUGGAUUAUCAGAAGAAUGUGAACAAAUUUAAUCAGACAAUCCAGUCAGCUUGGCAGCAAGGAUAGCAAUAGCAUCCAAUGAAAAUCAAGAGAGAUUAACAUUUGAAUCCAUGACAAAUGGAUAACACUAUAAUCAGAAUCAAGGCAAUGAUAAUACCCAAAACAAUCAAUUUUAUCUUCAUAUUCUGAAUCCACAUCUUCCUUCUCAUCUUAGUUCCCUGUUGUCUGAAGUCUUGUGCCUACAACAUCACAUCAGAUUAAACAAAUGAUAUCAGGUAUCAAAGAGAAAACUGCACUCAGGGAAAUAAACAGAUGAUGACCAAACUGAUUCAAUCACAAUUCCCAACUGAGCACUAAAGAGAUCUGCCCUGGUUUCAUACCCCAUUCAGCAUCAUGCAGUGAUGUCUGACAAGAUUCAAUAAUUUCAAAAGGCCAUUUGAAAGAAGGCAAUUAUUUUACCCAAAACAAAAAGUGGAAGAGUUCCAGAUAGCUACAAAACAUAUGCAGGCUACAUUGGACAAACCUGUGAACGAAGGUUCUCAGUUUUAUCCACCAGCAGCUCAAUCUUUUCACCGCGAUCAAGAACCUGCAGAAAAGAGAUUUUUUUGUUUUACAAAUUUCUGAAAAUAGUCAUCUCCAUGAUUAGUGUUCAAAAUGUUGGCCCCUUAGCAAUUACACAUUCACUUGCAAGCAUGCAUGACAAAAUAAGAUCCCAGGUUCUUUUGACAUCCAAGCAACAUUUACAGAAAUUGGAUGAAAAAUCCAGCAGCUAUUCUGUACCUUCUCAAUGUUUUCCAUCAUCACGCCCUUAACUUCAGAAACCUGAGCCUUCACUUUGGCAAGCUUGCUGAUCUCUUCAGGAUGAUCCACACAAUACUGCAUGUGAUCCUUCAGUUUGGAUCUAUAAUGUAAACAAGCAAGUAAAUCAUGAUAACAAAGAAACUUAAAUUCAUCAAUCUGAAAAAUUCAGACAUAGACAUGUAUACCCGAACUCUCUGUUCAGGCUAUUGGCCUUAGCAGUUGCAGCUUUCCCUCCACCAUAUCUUUUGUUGAAGUCCUCCUUAACUCGCUCCAGAAAGGCAAUUGGGAUUUGUCUGCCAGCAGAUUCAACUGCAACCACACAGUAGGUGAAGCCGUUUUCAACGAGGUAAUUGAAGGUGUGGCCAUCGCAGUUAUAGGUGAACUUAUUGCUGGAAGAGGGGAGUUUCUGGAGGCAUUGAGAGGCGAUGCUGGUGAAAUUCCCGGUGAACUCCGUAUAUUCCACCAGAAUCACCGUGCCUCGAGCGACGAAGCUGUAGAUUAGAGACUGUUGCCCCAUCUCUGCCCUUGUUUAUCUUGGAGAAAACAACAAAACGCUAACCCAAAGAUAAUCAGACAGAAAGGAAGAGAAAAGGAAGGAGAGAGGGAGAAACGAUGAGAUCGGGGAAGAGAGAAAUUUGGGCUGUGAUGUAUAAUGCGCUAAUCGCUUGUGUGUAUGGUAUAGUUUGUUGGUUUGUUAUUUUUUGAAUGUUAUAAAACAGUUGACAAAACUUAUGGAGAGAGAGAGAGACCUGGAGGCAGGAGUGGACAGUGGAUGAGAAAUUAAGGGCAGGGAGAGCGAGAAAUGAAAAAUGUUUCCAAAAUACGGCUGCUCCCACGCGGUAUUUUU